rnacentral:snRNA from 1 species
AGACAUGAGAGUCAUCUGGCUAUGACAUCUAUCACCCCAUUGAUCCCCAGGGUUGGUUUGGCUGGUCUGACUGGCUAGGUGGGUGUUGCUUCCUCCCUUACUGCUCCAUGUGCAUUCCUCCUGAAGCUGCGUGUUUGCUAGAAGAGGACAACCUUCCCCACUAGAGGAGGACUGUUCUUCCUUCAAGGGAGUACAGGUAGCUGCGUUCCCCUGCUAGAACCUCUAAACAAGCUCUCAAGGAUGGAAAGAAUGCUCUAGUGGGUCUGACAAGCCAAGAUGCAUCUAGCCUACACCACAGAUAACUUUAUAGGGAGACUAUGGCUGU